GUGCCAGCAGCCGCGGUAAAACGUAGGAACCGAGCGUUAUCCGAAUUUACUGGGCGUAAAGCGCGUGUAGGCGGUUCGGUAAGUUGGAUGUGAAAUCUCCUGGCUCAACUGGGAGAGGUCGUUCAAUACUGUCGAACUUGAGGGUGGUAGAGGGAGGUGGAAUUCCCGGUGUAGUGGUGAAAUGCGUAGAUAUCGGGAGGAACACCAGUGGCGAAAGCGGCCUCCUGGACCAUUCCUGACGCUCAGACGCGAAAGCUAGGGGAGCAAACGGGAUUAGAUACCCGUGUAGUCC
rnacentral:rRNA from 1 species